CAGUAGCCGCGGGAAAACGAAGGGGGCUAGCGUUGCUCGGAAUUACUGGGCGUAAAGGGCGCGUAGGCGGACAGUUCAGUCGGGGGUAAAAGCCCGGGGCUCAACCUCGGAAUUGCCUUCGAUACUAGCUGUCUUGAGUAUGAGAGAGGUGUGUGGAACUCCGAGUGUAGAGGUGAAAUUCGUAGAUAUUCGGAGGAACACCAGUGGCGAAGGCGACACACUGGCUCAUUACUGACGCUGAGGCGCGAAAGCGUGGGGAGCAAACAGGAUUAGAGACCCGAGUAGUCCCUGUCUCUAUACA
rnacentral:rRNA from 1 species